rnacentral:rRNA from 1 species
GACGAACGCUGGCGGCGUGCUUAACACAUGCAAGUCGAACGGAAAGGCCCUGCUUGCAGGGUACUCGAGUGGCGAACGGGUGAGUAACACGUGGGUGAUCUGCCCUGCACUUCGGGAUAAGCCUGGGAAACUGGGUCUAAUACCGGAUAGGAGCCAUUUUUAGUGUGAUGGUUGGAAAGUUUUUUCGGUGUAGGAUGAGCUCGCGGCCUAUCAGCUUGUUGGUGGGGUAAUGGCCUACCAAGGCGGCGACGGGUAGCCGGCCUGAGAGGGUGGACGGCCACAUUGGGACUGAGAUACGGCCCAGACUCCUACGGGAGGCAGCAGUGGGGAAUAUUGCACAAGGGGCGCAAGCCUGAUGCAGCGACGCCGCGGGGGGGAUGACGGCCUUCGGGUUGUAAACUCCUUUCGCUAGAGACGAAGCUUUUUGUGACGGUACCUAGAUAAGAAGCACCGGCUAACUACGUG